rnacentral:rRNA from 1 species
AUGGCGAGAUGCUGCCUGCUGCUCCUCUUCUGGGCGUUCCUCUGGCCGGCGGCCAGCGCGGUGCCGUGUCACCCCGACGACCUUCGCUCGCUGCGGGGUUUCGCCGGAGACCUCAGCGGCGGGGCCGUCCUGCUCCGCACCGCAUGGUCCGGCGCCUCGUGCUGCAGCUGGGAAGGUGUGGGCUGCGAUGGCACCAGCGCUCGCGUCACGGUGCUGCGGCUCCCCUCGCGCGGCCUCACGGGGCCCAUCCCAGGAGCCUCUCUAGCCGGCCUCGUGUGGCUGGAGGAACUCUUCCUCGGCUCAAACUCUUUCAUGGGCGUCCUCCCAGACGCGCUCUUCGGGCUCGCUAGGCUAAGGAAGCUUUCACUCGCAUCCAACGAGCUCACCGGCCAGCUGAGCUCACGCUUCGGGGAGCUCACACACCUCACCUUGUUGGAUUUGUCCACCAACCGCUUCUUCGGCCGCCUCCCGGACGUGUUCGACGAUCUCACGUCGCUAGAGCAUUUGGCCGCACACUCCAAUGGCUUCUCCGGCUUCCUGCCGCCGUCUCUGUCAUCACUAUCAUCUCUUCGUGGGCUCAACCUCCGGAACAACACCUUGUCCGGCCCGAUUGCUCGUGUUAGCUUCUCCGGCAUGCCACUUCUUGCUUCCGUUGACUUCUCCACAAACUACCUGACUGGGUGGCUCCCGGCCAGCCUUGCGGGCUGUGGCGAGCUCAAGUCGCUCAACCUUGCCAACAACACAUUGGUUGGCACCAUCCCGUCGUGGAUUGGUGAGUUUGACCACCUUUGGUACUUGAAUCUCUCAAAUAAUUCAUUCGUUGGCGAGGUACCCAAAAGUUUGUUACGGCUCAAGGGCCUCGCCACCGCGGGUCGUUCAUCGGGUAUGGUUUUCACUAACAUGCUAUUGUAUGUAAAUGACAAAAGAAGAGCACUCAAUGAACAACCAAAUACCAUAACUGGGAGCAACAACACUGUCAAAUCUGGGCGCAACAACAGCAUGUCUGGGAAUGAUAACACUGUCAUAUCCGGAGACAACAACGCUGUGUCUGGGAGCUUCAACACCCUUGUAUGUGGGGACAACAAUGUUCUAACUGGGGACCACCAUGUCGUAUCUGGGAGCAACCAUAUUGUAACUAACAGCUACAAUAAAGUAUCUGGGUGCACCAAUAAUGUAUCCGGGAGCCACCAUACCGUAUCCGGUAGCAACAAUGCCGUAUCUGGAAGCAACAAUACGGUAUCUGGGAGCAACCAUGUCGUAUCCGGGAGCAACAAAAUUGUAACCGACGGUUAA